rnacentral:ncRNA from 2 species
CGCUGUACUCAGGGCGGGGUGGAAUUCCCCACCGGCGGUAUCCCGGCGCGAGCCGGGGAGCCCGCGAGCGCUUCCGCCAUGCGGCGGAAGGUCAGCAGACCUGGUGCGAGGCCAGGGCCGACGGUCACAGUCCGGAUGGAAGAGGAUACGG